rnacentral:rRNA from 1 species
UGGGGAAUAUUGCACAAUGGGCGCAAGCCUGAUGCAGCCAUGCCGCGUGUAUGAAGAAGGCCUUCGGGUUGUAAAGUACUUUCAGCGAGGAGGAAGGCGUUGUGGUUAAUAACCGCAGCGAUUGACGUUACUCGCAGAAGAAGCACCGGCUAACUCCGUGCCAGCAGCCGCGGUAAUACGGAGGGUGCAAGCGUUAAUCGGAAUUACUGGGCGUAAAGCGCACGCAGGCGGUCUGUCAAGUCGGAUGUGAAAUCCCCGGGCUCAACCUGGGAACUGCAUCCGAAACUGGCAGGCUAGAGGCUUGUAGAGGGGGGUAGAAUUCCAGGUGUAGCGGUGAAAUGCGUAGAGAUCUGGAGGAAUACCGGUGGCGAAGGCGGCCCCCUGGACAAAGACUGACGCUCAGGUGCGAAAGCGUGGGGAGCAAACA